rnacentral:rRNA from 1 species
UACGAAGGGGGCUAGCGUUGUUCGGAUUUACUGGGCGUAAAGCGCACGUAGGCGGAUCGUUAAGUCGGGGGUGAAAUCCUGGAGCUCAACUCCAGAACUGCCUUCGAUACUGGCGAUCUUGAGUCCGGAAGAGGUGAGUGGGACUCCUAGUGUAGAGGUGGAAUUCGUAGAUAUUAGGAAGAACACCAGUGGCGAAGGCGGCUCACUGGUCCGGUACUGACGCUGAGGUGCGAAAGCGUGGGGAGCAAACAGG